CCCUUAGAUGUUCUGGGCCGCACGCGCGCUACACUGAUGAAUUCAACGAGCUCCUAACCUAGGCCGAAGGGUCCGGGUAAUCUUUGAAAUUUCAUCGUGAUGGGGAUAGAUUAUUGCAAUUAUUAAUCUUCAACGAGGAAUUCCUAGUAAGCGCGAGUCAUCAGCUCGCGUUGAUUACGUCCCUGCCCUUUGUACACACCGCCCGUCGCCCCUACCGAUUGAAUGGUCCGGUGAAAUGUUCGGACCGCGACAAGGCGGACGGUUCGCUGUCAGCUUUGCUGCGGGAAGUUCAUUAAACCUUAUCAUUUAGAGGAAGGAGAAGUCGUAACA
rnacentral:rRNA from 1 species